rnacentral:rRNA from 1 species
UACGUAGGGGGGCAAGCGUUGUCCGGAAUCAUUGGGCGUAAAGCGCGUGUAGGCGGCUUCGUAAGUCCGUUGUGAAAGUCCAGGGCUCAACCCUGGGAAUGCCGAUGGAUACUGCGGAGCUAGAGUCCGGAAGAGGCGAGUGGAAUCCUGGUGUAGCGGUGAAAUGCGCAGAUAUCAGGAGGAACACCGAUGGCGAAGGCAGGUCUCUGGGCAUUAACUGACGCUGAGGAGCGAAAGCAUGGGGAGCGAACAGG